CGCUGCCCGCCGAGUCUGUGCUGCCCAUCUCAAGGACGGACGAGCCGGAUGUCCCGUCGGCGUGCCUGCCCUCCGUGGGCGAGGUCGUGCUGCUACCCUGUUCUUCCGGGUCGCGACUUUCGCUGUUCGCCUGAAAAGUGGUAUCUAAAACUUUGAAGGCUUUGAGUGUCUAUCUUGGAGUGUCUGUCCAGGUGUCUGAUACAGUGGUGCCUGUCAAAGUGUCUAUCUUGCACCGUCUAUCCAAUCGUUUCAUUUUACAGUGUUUAUCCAAAUGCCCAAAGGGUGAACGCUUUUGGUGCCGCAGAAUAGAAUUACGCUGUUUCUUAACACCGUAGCCAAAGGGAGAAAGACGAGGAAGAAAAGUCAAUUGAGUUUAAUUUAAUCCGCCUGCGAAAAUAACCGAAGAAACAGCUGCGGGAUGAGCGCGAUGCGCAUAAAUCGAAACGAAUGGGCGCCGGUGACGUUGACGAGGACACGCGAAACGAACGGUCCAAAGGAUCUUCCGCGACUUCCUCCAAUCAUAACGCGACAACCUGUGUUAUUUUAGCAAUCUAGCUUAAUGCGUUAUCGUAAUAAAAAAUCAGUAUUGCCGAGGCAUAAGUUUUGAGAGAUUAAAGUUGGUUUCAGUUGGUAGAAAUGAAAUGUGAAUAUGUUUAGCGUUAAUAUGUGGAUGUAGCAAUUUUACAAUGUUAAAGUUAAUUAAAUUUGGAACCGAGAAGAACUUGAUUUGUAAAAUGGCAUGCUAUUGGGGGCGCAGAAGACGCUCGUAAUCUAAACAGACACAGUAGAAGCCUCCUCGACGCUGUAACAGUUACUUAUGAUGUACGUCGAGCACACAAUCGUAUUAUUACCUCCCCCUCGCCUCUGCAGUGACAACCGUCAUUACAAUGUUAUUAUAAUAGCUUCGAAUUACGUCCACCGAUCGUCGUACUGUGUAACAUCGGGCUGCAAACAUCCUUGAAUGGAAAUAACGUCGUUCUAUUUACGAGCCUUCAAAAUUGCUCAGGGUGGGGGCAUUCAAAACGGGUCGCCUGGAUAACACGUUUAUUUUUGAAGGUACAUACGAAGCUCAGUCUUAGGGGCAUUAGUCUGUCAAUCAUUAGAAGCGAGGAAAAUUAAUGGUUUCGACAUGUAGAAAAUAAUUAAUAAUUCCAAUUAUAAAAACUACGUGGCUGUAGAAAAUUCAUGUUAGUUGCACUUAAAAAUGGAAGGUUCAAGGUGUAAAUUUGCAAAGCUUUUAAGCAUUCUCUUUUUAUGCUACCUGGUCGAUUAACUCGAUCAUCGUUAAUUAUUCUACGAUGGCGGCUUCUUUGUAAACAAGAUGGCGAACAUGAACCCGCGUUAAUGACAUCGCGAAGAAAUUUGAGCGGAGAUCACAAGGUUGGCUCACGGCCACGAUGCUAAUAGAAAGAGUGAGCGCAGGAAAUGCGGAUGAUGGUCGUCAUCUCGACCUACGUGUCGACAUUUCGACGAUGCAACCAACCGCUACAAAAUAAUGGCGCCGCAAUACUUCUAACGAUAAAUAUUUCAAUGAAUUUAAUAUCGAAUACAGAAGAAUGUUCGACGAAUAAAAAUGAUUUAAAUCUGUGGCUGUAAAUAAUCCAUUAGUAUACUAUCGU